UGCCCCUCGUGCGCCGUGUAAAUGGCAUUUAAUUGGUGCUUUGCAUUUUGACAGCUAGUUUGGGCUGUGCAUGCCUUAACAUUUCCAGACAGCAGAUUGCUGGGUAGUUGUGUGUGUUUAAGAUGCUGUUUGCUGGUGACAUCAGUACAAGGAUUUCACAUCAGGCUGACUUCUCUUCAUUGUUGCUGGCGAGAGGCUCUUGACACAUAAUUUUAUUGCCAUUAUAUUUGAUAUGACAGACAUUAUAAAAUAGAACUGCAUUUCAUUUUAUAUCAAAGCAGAGAUUUAUUUAAUAUAAUCAUGAAGUUUCAGCCAAUGCCUGUUGUUAUGACAACAUGCAGUAACUUUGUGGUUAGCAUAGGAAUUAUCUCAGGAACAUUCUGAGUUUCAUGUCAAAUAGUUUGUGAUGUUUUCCUUGUAACAAACAGGAGAUGCUGGGGGUGAAAUCACAGCCNAGUUCUUUUACAGAGACUCGAGAAAUAUAAAUAUUGGAGGAUAUUAAUGAAAAUGACAUCUAUAUCUGAUGUAUUAGUGCCCAAAAAUGUGACGAAGUGCUCUGUUAAUUAACAUUUUUUUUGUUAUGAUACUUGUAAAAGUACAGUCAUUUUUCAGAGCUGACUGAGCUGCCCAGAAAAGGGCAGUGGUGUGACCUGGGUUAGCUGUUGUCCCAUCAGUGAUUUGAUUAUUCAAAACAGCAACAGACAGUGCACCCCACAUCCGUCACAAUGCAGAAAACAAAGGGUUGAAGCUAGUUAGUGUAUUACUGCAGUGACUCUGAGCACUCCUCUUACCGCUGUCCUCCCACCAAGCAACUGGUGGUAUUAUUGCAUCAGGAAAGACCAGUACACUGGGAGAAGUAUGUUCUAGAACAGCUGUUCGGUCCCUCACUUACUUGCCUGCUGGUAAUACCCAUCUUUCGAAGAGCAGAUGGUUUAAUUUUCUGAAACAGCUGCUAAUAAAUAGGAGAAGGAAAAUCAGAGUUGGAGAAUGAACUGUUAUCCACCUUCAAAAUUCAGCAAGAUUUAAAGCAAGGAAAUAGCAAACACAGACUGCAUGAUUUCUGCAGCUCCUUUCUGCCAGUGAGCCAUAUGGGAAAUUGAG
rnacentral:lncRNA from 1 species